rnacentral:misc_RNA from 1 species
UAUUCAUGAUGGGAGUGUCCACACCAU